GGUUAAGCGACUAAGCGUACACGGUGGAUGCCCUGGCAGUCAGAGGCGAUGAAGGGCGUGCUAAUCUGCGAUAAGCGCCGGUAAGGUGAUAUGAACCGUUAUAACCGGCGAUACCCGAAUGGGGAAACCCAGUGUGACUCGUCACACUAUCAUUAACUGAAUCCAUAGGUUAAUGAGGCGAACCGGGGGAACUGAAACAUCUAAGUACCCCGAGGAAAAGAAAUCAACCGAGAUUCCCCCAGUAGCGGCGAGCGAACGGGGAGGAGCCCAGAGCCUGAAUCAGCAUGUGUGUUAGUGGAAGCGUCUGGAAAGGCGCGCGAUACAGGGUGACAGCCCCGUACACAA
rnacentral:rRNA from 1 species